rnacentral:tRNA from 1 species
GCUUUCCUGUGGCUCAGUUGGUAGAGCAUUGCGCUAACAAUGCAAAGAUUGUGGGUUCAAAUUUCCAGGGAAAGCA